UUGCACCCGGCAGGUCAUACACGACCAGCUCCUGCUGAACUCCCCCAGGACCGGAAGGUAGCAAGGGUAGGUGGUUGAGCGGUGCGAUGUAUUAAGCCUGCCUUUUU
rfam:Filimonas lacunae strain DSM 21054 genome assembly, contig: Ga0111651_103